AUAAUAUUUAUGACUGAAUGUGCUGAGUCGGGAUAAUCUACGGCAUCCGGCCCUUCAAGAGAUAUUAUCUUACUGUGAACUAGUCCUAGAGAAAUCUAAAUAACCUCGAGAGACGGGGUCGGAUGAAGCAGUAAUGAAACUCCUAGAUGUGGGCAAGCCUAACCGAAGGAGUCGAUCGAAAACUCGUUGUUGAAGUAGCGUAAGCUCCCUGAUAAAAAUCAUAGUAAUACGAGAGGUGGCGAGUAUAAAUAAAUUUCCUGUUAUGCAGUGGAUUGUAAUCGAUAUUAAUCGGCCACAUGGGAAGAUGAAACAUCUCUGGUCUUGUAGAGAUAGCAUAUUGAGCUACAAGAUGAUACCGAAAGGUAU
ncrna:unclassified sequences HOLDH RNA